UACCCUUAACUACUGAUAUAAUAAAUAAAGAAUUUGUGUUGUGUUUAAAUGGUUUUAUAAUAUCUGCGUCACAUAUAUUUCCUUCUGUGUGGGGGUAGAUUGGACUCUUGCCAUAGAAUUUGAUUACGUAUGUCUGUGCGCAUAAACUCCGAUAUGUCAUAAUAAGAGUCCCAUGCAACAUGACGGGAGCCACCGUGCCAUAUGUUCUUUCGUUUGGGUUUAUUAUCACGUCAGAUCGACUAGAUGCACAGAAUGUGGGAAAACAAUUAAAGACACCGGAACAACAUCAUAAAAUUUUAUGAGACAUCGCAUCCACAAAGUCCCUUCAGCUCUGUAGGAACCAUGAGUUCACCUCAGGUCGACAGGUGAAGAUCUCUGUAAAAUGCCAGACAGAGUUUGAGAUUGGAACGGAAGUGCCAGUGAAGUGGCUCCACCGGCAGGUCUUUCUACCUCAUCUGUGAUGCCGUUUCCUUCUGCGGGCACAUGAUAAUCGGGCUCACAAACAAACCCAUGUGAACAGCAUCCCAGUUUCUCCACAUGAGCCGUCUGGAUCACAAAGCCAGGAAUGCGAGGUGAUCGGCACAAGGCCGUGAUCAAAACAGUGGGCCGUGUUUAUCAUCUCCCAUUGUGAGCUGCUUUUACCCAGAAUGCAGAUGAUGUCAUUUCCCUUUUGGUAGCAUCCUCUAGGACAAACCCCAAUAGUGCAAACUUUCAUGUUUUAGGAAAAUAUAAACAUUGCAUGAUUACAUGUUUACAACUUUUCCCAGUGCAUUUUCCAAAAACAUUUCCCAAUGCAUACUUUUCAAAUCACAGAAUGUUACUGAUUUUCAACUUUCAAAUUCAGAGGAUCUGUUACCUAUAACUUGAAUAAAUGCAUGUACUGCAAAAAGCGAGCUUCUUCCUUCAGUGUUUUUGUCUUGUUUUCCAGUAACUAUCUAAACAUUCUUAAAUUAGAAUACAUUUACUUGAAAAGUAAUGAUAACAAGUCUUAUUUUAUGAAAAGAAAUGCAUGAAAAUUAAGUGAAUUUAUGCUUAAAAUAAUAAGUCUAAUGGGGUCAGAAAAACAAUCUUGUUUUCCCUUUAAGUUAAGUUAAGUUUAUUUUUCUGACCCCACUGGCAGAUAUUUUUUCUUGUUUUAAGCAUAAAGCCAAAUAUAAUUUAAUAUUGUGAGUAAUUCUGCUUCUUAUGUAAAUGUAUCUUGAUUUAAGAGUGUUUACUGAACAAAUGUGCAUGGUUGCAAGUUAAAAAUUCUAAUUUGUUGAUUUAAUUAAACCUUUUAAGUUGCAAACAUUAUUUUGAUGAGUUUUGUUGAUUACAUCAACUUAAAAAACACAAUAUUAAACUGGGAUUUCUACAUCAAAUUUGACAAGCUAUAAUAAAUGAUCUAUGGGGUAUUUUGAGCUGAAACUUCACAGACACAUUCUGGGGACACCAGAGACUUAUAUUACAUCUUGUAAAAGGGGGCAUUAUAGGUCCCCUUUAAAUUGAAAUGUUAUAUAAGUUAUUUUAGUAUGUGCUAUACUAGCUGUUGAUUUAGAUAAGAUAAAUUGGUUCCACAGCCACAACCCAGUUAGUUAAAGUAAUCAACUUAAAAAUGUGUGUUUAUGCUGAAAAUAAGUUCAUCUAACUCAGUGAAGUUUAUUGGUUGAAUCAUUUAUUACUGUUUGUCCACUAUAUAUAUUAUAUAUUACUAUAUAUAACAAUAUAUAUAACAAUAUAUUACUGUUUUGAAACAGUCUAUAAAGGUGACUUGAUGUAGUUUGGAUUGAAAUGAGCAGGUGUCAUAAACCGCGUCGGGUCUGCAGCGUACGGUCAGUGGAGAACAAUACCUGGCUGUUCACAGCGACAGGCUAUUAACAAACAGCCUUUGAUCUCUAGAGCGGCACGAGAAACAAAGUAACAGAGUCACAGAAGGUCAGUAAUAUCUCAAAGAACCAACGCUGCCGUGGAAUAAAGGCACAAAAGACAAAGCAAAGAAAAUACGGUUUCAUGCACGUAAACCAAAACAAAAAUCCUGGCAUGAUAUUAUCUGGAGCGACUCAGACACUCCAUAAGUGUGUGUAUCAUCUGAACACAAAAAGGGUUUAAAAUCUGCUUAGUUACAGAAAGAGAGUUUCCUCAUUCAGUCAGCAAGAUUGAACUUCUGGCAUUUUGCCACUUAUUGUACAGGCAAAAUGCAUACUAUGUAUAGACCAGUUUGGAGCAGACGUCACAGUUACGUCACUUGUAGCUGCGCACAUAGUGCUGGCAGAAAAAUAGUGGUAGUAAAAGGUGCAAAAAUUAGAAAAAUGUUUUGUUCCACCUGUGCAUGUCAGAAUUGGAAUGUCUUAAUUUUUAUAGAAUACCAUUGUUGCCAUUUGAAGCUGCUGAAUGCAGAUGUUUAUGUUGCAAGUCACAGACUGAACUGAUGAAAGCGGCAAUGAUUAUUCUACUAUUAAAGUAUGAAUUUGAUGUAAAUAGUAAGUCUACAUAAUAUUCACAUAUCGUUAGCCUCAUAGCAUAAAAAGUCAUUUUUUUGUCCAAAUUGUGAUAUCUGCCUUUGAAAUAUGAUCUGGGCAAUUAUGUUAUGAGGCUAACGAUAUGCAGUUCAUAGAGGACAUACAUAUAUAACAGUUACAGCACGAAAUAAUAUUUAAACCUAUAACAUAACUUUUAAACAUAGCCUAUAACAUUUUUAUCUCACAAUUCUGACUUUUUUUCUUGCAUUUGCGAGUUUAUAUCUCCCAGUUUGGAC